rnacentral:rRNA from 1 species
CCUACGGGUGGCAGCAGUGAGGAAUAUUGGUCAAUGGGCGAGAGCCUGAACCAGCCAAGUCGCGUGAGGGAGUACUGCCCUAUGGGUUGUAAACCUCUUUUGUCGGGGAGCAAAAGCCGGACGUGUCCGGCUGUGAGAGUACCCGAAGAAAAAGCAUCGGCUAACUCCGUGCCAGCAGCCGCGGUAAUACGGAGGAUGCGAGCGUUAUCCGGAUUUAUUGGGUUUAAAGGGUGCGCAGGCGGAUGUUUAAGUCAGCGGUAAAAUCGUGGGGCUCAACCCCAUCCAGCCGUUGAAACUGGGGAUCUAGAGUGUGCGAGAGGUAGGCGGAAUGCGUGGUGUAGCGGUGAAAUGCAUAGAUAUCACGCAGAACCCCGAUUGCGAAGGCAGCAUACCGGUGCACAACUGACGCUCAGGCACGAAAGCGUGGGUAUCGAACAGGAUUAGAUACCCGAGUAGUC